GCUAGAGUUGCUAGAGUCCGGCCACAGAGGCUUGUUAUCAGGUCUGAUUGCAGCGUAGGAGGGAGUGAGGUGCCUGUACCUCCUCAUGCUGUGCUGUGGGGUGCCUUCAACUGGGGGGACACGUGCCACCUCUUGGUUCCGUUUGAACCCCGUUUCAUCCCAGGGAUUUUGAGACCUGAAUCCACCCAUGGCUUAGUCACUCCUGACCAAAGCAACUGUGUGAUGUUGAGAGGAAGCAACAAACGUGAGAUCAAGACAGAAAACAAGAGAGCAUCUCUGUGUUGACAGGCUCUGGAAGCCAGGCUUUGCCGAGGUCGGGGCAAGUACAGAAGUCCCCCCCUGUUCUAUCGGGGCUACAUUCUAAGACCUGGAGUGACUGCCUGAAGCCAUGCAUAGUGCCGAACCUUACAUACACUGUUUUUUCCUGUACACACAUACCUGUAAUAAAGCUUAACUUAUAAAAUGGGCACAGUAGAUUAACAACAAUUAAUAAUAAAACACAACUAUUACAACGAUAGGCUACAAUAAAAGCCAUAUGGGGGCGCCUGCGUGGUUCAGUCGGUUAAGCGCCCCACUUCGGCUCAGAUCAUGAUCUUGCUGUUCGUGGGUUCGAGCCCGGAGUUGGGCUCUGUGCUGACAGCUCGGAGCCUGGAGCUGUUUCGGAUUCUGUGUCUCCCUGUCUCUCUGCCCCUCCCCCACUCAAAAAUAAGCAAACAUUUUAAAAUAAAUAAACAAAUAAAAUAAAACCUAUAUGACUACGGUCUCUCUCUGUCUCAAAAUACUCCUACUAUUCCUGGUCCUUCUUGCGGUGACGUGAGCUAAUAGAACGUCCACGGAGACGCGGCGAGGUGAGUGCGCAUGCGUGUGACCUGCGGCCCACCCCGGGAGCUUGACCUUCUGGCGCCCCGACGCAGGAGGAGCUUCUGCCUUCCGGAAGGCUCUGCCAAGUCGGCGGCGGGGACCUCCGCGGAGCCCGUUCGCUUCUGGAGGAAAGAGCCAGACUUCUCAAAGCCACAAAACGUUUGUUGCAAUGCCACUGCGAAUAAAUGGAUAUGGACGGGCCACCCCAAGGCUCUCCUGUUCCGGGAUCAUCUGCAAAGAGCAAACGUCUAUUGAAUUGUGUUUCUUGCUUAUCCGGUUCGGCAAAGAUCGUGUUAUUAUAUCCGCUUUGCAGGUGGGGCUCAGAGAGGAUAAAUAAGAUGAUUCCACAGAACCUCUCCUGAACCCUCCCUUCCUUCCCACUCUCCACUGUUACCACCUGCCAUGUGUGGUCACUGCUUCUCUGUUUUAUAUUUUAUGUAUUUACUUUUACUGAGGUGUUAUUUACAUGCAGUAAAACAAUAAAUCCUAAGU